AUCUGAUGACGAACAGCUCAAGGAGACCGCGAAUUGGACCCAGGUGAUGAUUGCAAGGGUUAUGGUUUCAUGAGAUGUAGGUAGAUAGAUCAGUCUGUGAGUAAAUUAGUUGUUUAUGCUGAUUUGUUUCUGGUUAGUUCAAAAUGGGACACUUCUUUUUAGCUCUUUUUCCAAUUAAGUCUCUGGUUAAAAAUUGUCAAGGGCCCAGAAAGAGAAUGAGGCCAUGCAUCCCUGUGUCUUUUGUAUUUGCGGAUGAGAAUCAUGAUGAUUUUCUUUUAGUGGACUCUGUAUGGGAUGGGAGAGAUUCUUGGUUAAGUGCUUUGUUGAACUCUGCCACUGAUCGGUGGUUUAUUAGGUCAUUUUAUUUA
rnacentral:misc_RNA from 1 species